ensembl:lncRNA
AUUGUAUGCUCAUGUAGAGGUGGCAGAUUCUUACCUUGGGGGCAGUUAGGAAGGUACCCUGCUUUGUGUUCUUAAAGGUUGAACUCCAGAGAAUUAGGAUCUAGCCCUUUGAAAGAAGGUCCUUGUAAGAAAGCUGUAUUAGGACCAACCAACCCUGAGCCUUGAAGCAUGGCCACCUUUGUUCACCUAUGAAGCCAUGUGCCAAGCUCAGAAGCUGUCAAUAGCUAAGUGACUUGUAAUUGAGUAGAACGAGGGAGGGAGAGUGUUGGAUACUUUUAACCACUAUUUUUGUGCAAAUGUAAAAGUAAAAUAGAAGGUCCUGCCGUGUCUUCCUUUAGAGUAUGUGAUCCAUACACCUUUGAUCCUUUUGAGGAGAACAAAGCCACCAUGUCUAUCCAUAGUUUGGAAGAGAAAGUUUGCCUGUUUAGCUGUGUUGUUUAGCUGGGAAGGGUGGAUGCCAUGAUACACUACAGCAGUAGUAUUAGUAAUAGCGUGUUGGAGGUUCUCUUCAUAUUAGUGUCCCUACGCGUCCUUUACGGUUCCCACAGAUAACUUUUAGAAGUAAAGUACUUCUGUAGAGAAGGGCCAGAUUUUCUUUGGGGUUUCUAAGGAACAUAGUGCUUCAACUUGUUUCAUGAAGUCCAUAGCCAGAAGAAUUUCAGCCCGUACUGGCAAACAGAUAGGCUAUUGCUUUUCACGGGUCUCCUGGGAGAGCUUGAAACUUGGGGCAAAAACACUGAUUUUUUCACAGAUCUUCCCAGGUCUCUCUUAGGAAAGACUCAAAAAACACAUUGCCCUCUUUGCUGUGCCUGAAACCCACCCCCAUUGUGUCGAGUCCUUGCAGAGAAACCUGUAGAUGUGGUUCAUAGGUAUAUGAGUAAGCAUCUGUGUAAAAGCAGUGAGUGUGUGCUAUGUAAAUACGUUAAAUUAUUAUGCUAGAAAAAUAAAGUUACGGACCAUGCUGCCCCAUGUCUGCUCUGUGAUUACAGUGACACCUGUUGGACGAGCUGAGGAACCUCUGCAGGAGGAGGAAGGGACUUAAUACCUAAUCAGUUUUCAUGAGUUGUACUUGCCCACUAGCCCGCUUGACUGUUACUGUAGUUCUUUUUUUUUUAUAACCUUUAAGCGAUCACAAAUAAAGCAGUGCCCCACUGGUCCGAA